rnacentral:rRNA from 1 species
CCUACGGGAGGCAGCAGUGGGGAAUAUUGCACAAUGGGGGGAACCCUGAUGCAGCAACGCCGCGUGGGUGAAGAAGUACUUCGGUAUGUAAAGCCCUGUCAGCAGGGAAGAAAAUGACGGUACCUGACCAAGAAGCCCCGGCUAACUACGUGCCAGCAGCCGCGGUAAUACGUAGGGGGCAAGCGUUAUCCGGCUUUACUGGGUGUAAAGGGAGCGUAGACGGCAAGGCAAGUCUGGAGUGAAAGCCCGGGGCUCAACCACGGGACUGCUUUGGAAACUGUGUUGCUGGAGUGCAGGAGGGGUAAGCGGAAUUCCUAGUGUAGCGGUGAAAUGCGUAGAUAUUAGGAGGAACACCGGUGGCGAAGGCGGCUUACUGGACUGUAACUGACGUUGAGGCUCAAAGGCGUGGGGAGCAAACAGGAUUAGAUACCCCAGUAGUC